ACAGUUAAACAACUGAGAUUAUUGGCUAAAUAGCUAACCUAGCUAACUAACAGUUACAUUUUUAGCUAGACAGCUAAGAUACAUAAUCAACAUUUGAGGAUAUUGGCAGGCUAGCUAACUUAGCUAACUAAAAUUCUCAAAUGUUUGGCUAUAAUGCUAGUUAACAGUUAAACAACUUAACAUGCUAGCUAGCUGGCUAACUGACAGCCAACAAGCCAGGAUGUUAGUUAGCCUAGCUAGGUAGUUAAGUACCUAGCUAGAUAACUAACAGGUAAACAACUAACAACAGUUAACAUGCUAGCUAGCUGGCUAACUUAACUAACCAAUUAGAUAACUAACAGUUAUACUACUAAUAGUUAUACAACUGAGAUUGUUAGCUAGUUAGCUAUCUAACUAACUAAAACUGACUAGUUAAACUAGCUAACUAACCAUUAAACAACUGAAAACGUGAGCUAGGUAGCUAGCUAGAGAAUGAUGGCUAAUCAGCUAAACUAGCUAUUUAACAUUUAAACAACAAAGAAUGUUAUUUAAUAACUAUCUAACUAACUAGUUAAACUAGCUAACUACCAGUUAAACAACUGAGAAUAUUAGCUAGUUUGCUACCUAGCUAAACUAGCAAGCUAAGUGUUAGGUAAAUAACUGAGAAUGUAAGUGAAAAUGUAAUUAGAAAACUAGACAAACUAACAUAAUAACAGCUACACAACAUAAACUGUUAGUAAGCUAGCUAGUUAACUAGCAAGCUAAUCUUAGUUGUUUAGCUGUUAGUUAGCUAGCUGGUUAACAUUCCUGGUUGUUUACCUGUUAGUUCUCUAGGUUAGCUUGCUAGUUAGCUAGCUAGCUGUCUCUAAAUUAAUAUUCUAAUAUUCUUAGUUGUUUAACUGUUAGCUAGUUAAUUAGUGAUACUGUCUCCAAAUUGUCUGUUUAAUUAAAUUAUGUUGCACAGUAACACUAGCUUAACACAAUGUUUUUUUAUUACCUUUUUAAAGAGCAGCAAUACAAGGACAGGAUUUGAAGAAAGCAAGAGGUUUUGAGUGUGGCUACAGGUGAGACAGGUGAGAAGAGCAAGACAGGAGGCGGAGCUGGUGAUGCUGUUCACCUGCAGGUGGAGGGGAAAAAAACGAGCGAGGUCAUUCGCCUUUCGGCAGAGACGAAGAGGGGGAGAACAUAGCCAUGUUUUUUUUUUCGUUUUUUUUUUUUGUCUGUUUUUUGCAGACGAACAGACGUCGUAAACAGGACGGUAGGGCCGCAGGCCGUCUGAAGCUACUCACCCUGCUGAUGGAGAAGAGCAGGCCGGGUUUGCCUGAACACACCCCGGUGAAGCAGUAGCGAAGCCUCCAGUAGAACAGGUGCUCCCACACGAAGGUGAUGAGGCUGAGGCCCAUAGCGGUGGCCAGCAUGUAGAACACUCCGGCCAUGUUGUCCACGUCCAGCUGGCUGCUCAUCACCUCAUUCUUCUCGUUGUGGCAGAUCCCAGUCAGCCACUGCGCCUCCAGCUCCUCCAUCUCACCUGACAUCCACAGUUAAUCCUGUUGAAUGUGGUUGGUCCUUCUUGGUGGUAUGCUGACAUUACCCUGGAUACCGUGGCUCUUGAUACAUCACAAAGACUUGCUGUCUUGGUCACAGAUGCUCCAGCAAGACGUGCACCAACAAUUUGUCCUCUUUUGAACUCUGGUAUGUCACCCAUAAUGUUGUGUGCAUUGCAAUAUUUUGAGCAGAACUGUGCUCUUACCCUGCUAAUUGAACCUUCACACUCUGCUCUUACUGGUGCAAUAAUGUGCAAUUAAUGAAGAUUGAACACCAGGCUGCUCCAAUUUAGCCAUGAAACCUCCCACACUAAAUGACAGGUGUUUCAGUCAAUUUUAUAGACCAUAUCUAUAGACCAGAGACUAUGUACUCAAGGGUUUACUCAUAUUUGUGUCUAUUUUUGUAUUUUACAUUGAGCACCAAUAAUGCAAUUGGCAGUUAGUGUUCUCCUCCAAGCGUGUUGAGCUUUAUAGUGACUUUUCAUGAGCAGAAGCAUCACAAAGAUGCAGCUAGAUUUACGUGUCUCAGAGGAACUUUUACUUCAGUGAAUUCUUAUGAUUAUAUUGACAUGAUUUAAGGCUUCUAGCUAAUGGGGAUAAAUUGGUUUAAAAAAAAAAAACACACACACAACUCGUGUACAGGAUUAUUACAGGGGAUUCAUGCAUAUUUGAUGACUUCUACUAAGCUCAUAUAAGCUUCUGCCAGUACUUAGUGAUGUAGAAUAUUUUAUUCAUAUAAAAAAUUCGUGCAUUUUUAAAACAACUCAAUUCAGUGAAACGCAGCGCUGUUUUCAAUCUAACAUCCCGACACAAAACUUUCUACACUUAAGGCACGCGGCGCAGAGGAGGAGUAAAACACACACUCGCGUCGGCCAUAUGCCGCCUCCAUCUGAGAGCAUUUUUUCCCCUCUUUCUAUGAGGUGCUGCCAAAACGAUGAUUCUGUCAUUUCUCAAGCUUUACGUUAAAGCAGCGCACGGAGACGCGGAAAACGUAGACGACUGCAGAUGGGAGACUCAAACAAAAUCUGCUGUAAAACGCUGAUUAAAAGAGGGCUGGAAACAGAUGGAUGUCACGUAAUGAAAAAUAACACAGUUUUGCCUGUGCUGAGCUCGGCUUUACUCACACGCUUUAUCUCUGCGCUUAAAAACACUGCUUUUGCUUUCACAUCCAUGCUAGAAAAAACUGCUGUUAAAUAUUUUUAAUAACAAAUUAAGAGAAGUUUAAAUGAGUUUCUUUCAAGAGGAAGAUGGAUGAUCACAAGCCAUCAAACCAAACUGAACUGCUUUUUUUUUAUUUUUCACCAGGAGUAAAGCAGCAUAAAGUUAUUCAAAAGCAGUGUGUAAGACUGGAGGAGGAGAACAUGAUGCCAAGAUGCAUAAAAAAACUUUGAUUAAAAACCAACCAGGGUUAUUCCACCAAAUAUGGAUUUCUGAACUCUUUAAACUUGUUUUCUUUGCAUUAUUUGAGGUCUGAAAGCUCUGCAUCUUUUUUGUCAUUUCAGCCAUUUCUCAUUUUCUGCAAAUAAAUAAAUGCUCUAAAUGAAUGACAAUAUUUUCAUUUGGAAUUUGGGAGAAGUGACCUCUUUUGAAGGGGUCUUUUUUUCCAGAGCUGUAUUAUCUAAUACAAACCCAAAAAUAUG